rnacentral:rRNA from 1 species
UACAGAGGUCUCAAGCGUUGUUCGGAUUCAUUGGGCGUAAAGGGUGCGCAGGCGGCGCGGUAAGUCGGGUGUGAAAUCUCGGAGCUUAACUCCGAAACUGCAUUCGAUACUGCCGUGCUUGAGGACUGGAGAGGAGACUGGAAUUUACGGUGUAGCGGUGAAAUGCGUAGAUAUCGUAAGGAAGACCAGUGGCGAAGGCGGGUCUCUGGACAGUUCCUGACACUGAGGCACGAAGGCCAGGGGAGCAAACGGG